CCUACGGGAGGCUGCAGUCGAGAAUCAUUCACAAUGGGGGAAACCCUGAUGGUGCGACGCCGCGUGGGGGAAUGAAGGUCUUCGGAUUGUAAACCCCUGUCAUGUGGGAGCAAAUUAAAAAGAUAGUACCACAAGAGGAAGAGACGGCUAACUCUGUGCCAGCAGCCGCGGUAAUACAGAGGUCUCAAGCGUUGUUCGGAAUCACUGGGCGUAAAGCGUGCGUAGGCUGUUUCGUAAGUCGUGUGUGAAAGGCGGGGGCUCAACCCGCGGACGGCACAUGAUACUGCGAGACUAGAGUAAUGGAGGGGGAACCGGAAUGCUCGGUGUAGCAGGGAAAUGCGUAGAUAUCGAGAGGAACACUCGGGGCGAAGGCGGGUUCCUGGACAUUAACUGACGCUGAGGCACGAAGGCCAGGGGAGCGAAAGGGAUUAGAUACCCCUGUAGUC
rnacentral:rRNA from 1 species